UUAAUUUCCGAUUUUUGCGUCGAUUCGCUAGGCCCGACCGCCCAAUUUAAAAAUCACAUUCAUAAACAACGAUGAAAAAGAGAAGAAUCCCCAUUCGAAAUCUCCUUUCCUCGACAUGAACCCUAAAACUCUUGAUUCCUCAAUUCGAAUCUCUUACGUUUUGACUCAAAAUCUUCUUCUCACCUUUCUCUGCCACUAAAAGCUUCGGUUCACAAGCGCAUGAACUAUCCUUCUUACGUUGCCGGAGACUGAUCGUUAGAUAAUGGCGACGUUUGAGCUAUACAGCAGAUCAACGACAGGGAUGUGUUUGAAAGAGACUUUGGCCUAGAUGGUUCAGAGCGGUACCUUGAGCCCUGAGCUACCAAUCCAAGUCCUUGUUCAGUUUGACAAGGUGGCUGAUCUUGGAGUCUUUUGGUUUUGCUUCUGUUGUUUUUUGUUUUCUUUCUGUCUGAUAUCUGUGUUCCUUUGAAGACCAAGGACGCAAUGUUCAAGAUAUACGAGUGUCAGGAGAAUGUGAGCCGGGUCAAGAUAGUGGCAUGUGACUCUAAGCUACUCACACAGUCAGAUGUAGUAGAUUUUUGAGUUUUCCUUUUUCACUUUGUAAAACUCAGGCACUUGCUAUAUGUUGAGCUCCAUUUGCAGCCAUCAAUUUAGCCCCCCUUUAUAUGUACAUUAUCGGUCCAAAGACAUAUGGGACUCUUGUUGCUAUGAGAAAGUACUGAAAUUCACCA